CUUCACGAGAUACGCCACUAAGCCCCGGCUCGGCGCACACCAGCCCCAUGCUCAUGGGUGGUCCGGGUGACGAAGCGGCGGACACCAAACGGUGUCGGCAAGAGCGCCUC
rnacentral:ncRNA from 1 species